AUACGGAGGAUCCGAGCGUUAUCCGGAUUUAUUGGGUUUAAAGGGUGCGCAGGCGGCCAUUUAAGUCAGCGGUUAAAUCGUGGGGCUCAACCCCAUUCUGCCGUUGAUACUGGGUGGCUUGAUUGCGGUCGAGGUUGGCGGAAUUCGUUGUGUAGCGGUGAAACGCAUAGAUAUGACGAAGAACACCGAUUGCGUAGGCAGCUGACCAGACCGCAAAUGACGCUCAUGCACGAAAGUGCGGGGAUCGAACAGGAUUAGAUACCCUGGUAGUCCGCACAGUAAACGAUGAAUACUUGUUUUCGGCGAUAUAAUGUCGGAGGCAAAGCGAAAGCGAUAAGUAUUCCACCUGGGGAGUACGCCGGCAACGGUGAAACUCAAAGGAAUUGACGGGG
rnacentral:rRNA from 1 species